rnacentral:tRNA from 1 species
GCUCUCGUAGUGUAAUAGUAACACACUCGGUGCAAAUUCGACAGGCCUAGGUUCGAGUUCCGGCGAGGGCA